GAACAACACGCACGGAACUAGCAGGCACAAGAAUCAUCCCACGUAUCGCUUUCGUUGAGGGCUGCGAUCCUCGCUUUUGUGCCAUCGAUCCUGCCGGACGCGUAGCGAUAUCCACGGAACCAGCAUUGAGAGCAGUAGAAGAUUCCGACGUCGCAGACGAUCCUGCCGGCCGCGGAAUGACACGCAUGGAACCUGCAGCGGGAACAAAUGCCGGUACCGGCGUCGCACAAGUGGACGGCUGCGAUCCUCUCUUUUGUUCCACCGAUCCUGCCGGUCGCGUAGCGAUAUCCAUGGUACCAGCAUCGGGGGCAAGAGACGGUUCCGGCGUCGGUCUUGAUGACGUUCGCGGUCCAAAAACACGGACAAUCGCCCCUGUGGAGCAUAAUACAGCCGAAGGCAGUUGUUGCAGUGUAAAAAGGCACCCUUUCUUUGGUGGUUCCGACAUUAUAUUUUGGCUGAAAUAAUCAAUCGUUUUAUUAUUUUUUAUGUGAAACUGCUGAGUUGAACUUGAAUGCUGCUUUGCGCUUUUAAAUCUGAAUGUUUAUGUUUUCAGCUGUGAAUUUCAAUAAAGGGUAACAAUCACA